GAGGGUAUAGCUCAAUUGCUAGAGUGCAUGCUUAGCAUACGCGAGGUCCUGGGUUCAAUCCCCACUACCUCCA
rnacentral:tRNA from 1 species